rnacentral:lncRNA from 1 species
UGCUGUGUGUUCUUUUAUUUAAAUAAUCAACAAUUUUUCAACACUAUAUUAUACUCUACUGUAAAUUAGAUGUUUAAAAAAGUGCAUAUUAAAAGAAAUUGGGCAUAAUUAAUUAAUAGCUUUAUAUAAAUUACAAUACUUCUUUUUGUAAAAAAAAAUAAUGCAUUAUAGUUUUUGGUCAAGAAUUGAAAUUGUAUGUUCACAUGGACUAGAAUUGGAACAAAUUAUUGAUUUAUACUAUUGAUUCCUAUGAAAAAGCACCAGCAUUCCCUGACUUUCUCUUUAAUUGGAAUCAGAAGGUUUUACAUAAUUCAAAUUGUGAAAAAGUUGGGAAGUGAUUUUUUUAACGAAAAUUCUGAAGCAAAAACUACUGCAGCUAGUGGACUGGACUACUGUGAUUGUGCCUAUACCACAUUAUGGUUCCAUAUUGCUUUCUGACUGAAAGCAAGACAAUGCCACAUAGUAUGAUAUUUGAGACAGUUCCACAUGGGUAUGAUAUCAGUAGCAAGAUACUUAAGAUCAAACAAUACAAAAUAAUCUUUAAUCAGCUCUUUGGGCGGGAACUGGCUCUUCUCUUGUUUGAAAGUGGAGCUUUGUUUACUAGAGCGCUUCCGGCUCGCCCGGGC